UAAUACGUAGGGGGCGAGCGUUGUCCGGAUUUAUUGGGCGUAAAGAGCUCGUAGGCGGCUUGGCAAGUCGGGUGUGAAAACUUCAGGCUUAACCUGGAGAUUGCACUCGAUACUGCUAUGGCUAGAGUCCGGUAGGGGACCACGGAAUUCCUGGUGUAGCGGUGAAAUGCGCAGAUAUCAGGAGGAACACCGGUGGCGAAGGCGGUGGUCUGGGCCGGCACUGACGCUGAGGAGCGAAAGCGUGGGGAGCAAACAGGAUUAGAUACCCUGGUAGUCCACGCCGUAAACGUUGGGUACUAGGUGUGGGGCCUUAUCAACGGGUUCCGUGCCGCAGCUAACGCAUUAAGUACCCCGCCUGGGGAGUACGGCCGCAAGGCU
rnacentral:rRNA from 1 species